rnacentral:rRNA from 1 species
AUUGAACGCUGGCGGCAGGAGGAAGAAAUGGAAGUCGAACGAGUGGCGGACGGGUGAGUAAUGCUUGGGAAUCCAGCUUAUGGAGGGGGAUAACUACGGGAAACUGUAGCUAAUACCGCGUACCAUAGGAUGAGCCCAAGUGGGAUUAGGUAGUUGGUGAGGUAAAGGCUGACCAAGCCGACGAUCUCUAGCUGGUCGGAGAGGAUGACCAGCCACACUGUGACUGAGACACGGCCCAGACUCCUACGGGAGGCAGCAGUGGUGAAUAUUGCGCAAUGGGGGCAACCUGACGCAGCCAUGCCGCGUGAAUGAAGAAGGCCUUCGGGUUGUAAAGUUCUUUCGGUAGCGAGGCGUUAACUACAGAAGAAGCACCGGCUAACUCCGUUCCAGCAGCCGCGGUAAUAC